rnacentral:rRNA from 1 species
CAGUAGCCGCGGUAAUACGUAGGGUGCGAGCGUUAAUCGGAAUUACUGGGCGUAAAGCGUGCGCAGGCGGUUAUAUAAGACAGAUGUGAAAUCCCCGGGCUCAACCUGGGACCUGCAUUUGUGACUGUAUAGCUAGAGUACGGUAGAGGGGGAUGGAAUUCCGCGUGUAGCAGUGAAAUGCGUAGAUAUGCGGAGGAACACCGAUGGCGAAGGCAGCCCCCUGGGAUAACACUGACGCUCAUGCACGAAAGCGUGGGGAGCAAACAGGAUUAGAUACCCCCGUAGUCCCUGUCUCUUAUAC